AUUCAGUUGGUAAUAUUUUUCCCUUUCUCUCUUGUCUUUCACUUCUCUUCUUUGCUCAGCUAUUUGUAAAGUCUCCUCAGACAACCACUCUGCCUUCUUGCAUUUCAUUUUUCUUGGGGAUGGAUUUGGUCACCACCUCCCAUACAAUGCUAUUAACCUCCA